rnacentral:lncRNA from 1 species
UUCUCCACGGCCACCGGUCAGCCUCCCCGACUCUUUAAUCCCUUUGUCCUUGCUCUCCCUGGAAACCGCGGGGCUCUCCUUCUCCUUGUAACAUCUCGUCAGAGGACCCAGAAAAAUAAGCACACACUUUCAAAUUGCUUUCCAAGCUCUCCCCUUGAGCCACGUGGACGUUCCAGCCACCACCUACGUGGGGUCAGAGGCAACGCUUGUAUCAGACUCGAACCUCUGCCCUCCAACCUGCCAUGGGGCCGCCAGGCCAGGCCACCAGGGUGGCUCCUGUGGUACCGGCAGGAGUUGGCCUGAGGGCUGCCAGCUGCUAAAACCAUAGACCCCACCCCACACUGCAGUGCCGCUUGGCAGGGGCCAGCGUUCUCCCCGACGUGGUGCGGGAGGUUCUGGGCCAGUCCUGGAAGACCCCUGGCCUGGCCUCUGUGGGCCUCCCUCAUCGACUCUCCAGUGUGCGGCCCCAUCUAACCACAAGGCAUUCAGAACUGUGACUGUCCCACGUCCACAGGAGGACAGAGGUUGACAAGAACGCACGGCGCCCUCUCUGCCUCACAGCCGCAGCAAGGACACCUUGCACAGAAGGCAACGUUGCCAGCUCUCCUAGCGUGAAGAGAGCAGGCCUGGAGAGUCCUGUCCUUCCCCACAGAUGCCAUCUGAGAGCCUGCUGGAAGGUGGCCUUGCCCUCUGAGCCACUGUCUGGAGGCCCGCUGGCCCGAGGGCAGGGAGGAUGUAACUAGGGAAUGUGCCUCCCCAGCAUUCAGAGAAACCCUGCUGAGCCUGGGAGAAACAGGUCCCCAGCUGUGCCCCGAGCUGUGCCCCCCUAGAGUCCCGCUCCGGAGGCCUCCCUGAUGCCACGGGAGCGCAGGAGCUCCUGGGCCCCCGGGGGGACUUCGCACCACAGAUGCUCCAGGAACCAGUGAGACGUGGUGCAUCCGCAUCUUUCCUUCUAACUAACUUGUGCCGUUUUUAAUGGGAAAGAGCCAGUAACACCCAGUCAGUGUGCCUUCCCAACCUCGAGGAUGGGGACCCAGGUUUGGGGUUUUCUUCUCUGCGGCCAGUGACUGGGGCCACUGAGGCUCCUCUCAGUUGACCCACUGUGACACCCAACUUCAGGCACCUGCAGAUGGUGUGGUGCUCUCCUGGGCAUCCUGUGGGUGUUCCCAGAAAUCAUCGUGGGAGUCCUGAGUGGCAGGAUUGCCGCAGUCCGGCUGGGCACAAAACCACGAGCCACUCCAGCAGGAACAAACUCCAUUUCCAGAACUCCCGCGAACGCCAUGCACGCGGCCUUCUCCGGGGACACAACACACCAACAGGAAAUCCCUCCUCCGGAAUUCCCUCCUACCGCACCCCCCAACCAAUGGGAACUCUCCGGGAGUCCCCACGAGAGCUCUAAAGCAGCAGGCCGAGGCGGACAGCAGGGGUCCAACAUCCAACCGAACACACAUUUCAACACAAUCAUCACCAUCCCAAUGGCCCGCUGGCAUCAGCCCCCAACCAAAAAUGCCAUGCGUCACUCCCACUCGGCCACGGCUCCCAGCAUCUCCCCCCCCCCGUUCAAUCAAGCACCAAACGUGUGGCUUAGGGACCGUGCCUGUCAGGCUGUCCAACACUACAUAUGGCCUUUACCCGUCAUCGGAUGAGCUGACCUCAAGGCGUCAGCCUCCUGUCUUAGGUUGGUACCACUGCAAUUGGAUCUUACCCGUCACUGACUACCGGUCCAGCAUACAGCCAUACUUGUGGAUAGGCCUAUGCACCAGUGGGGGGGGGGGUGAGGUUAUUUGCUCACCUCUGUUGGCCCCCAAAUUUGGCCCUGGUGCCAGUGGGGGGGUGAGGUUCUCUGCCUCACCUCUGCUGGCCCCCAAAUUCCAGACUAUCACUAGCAGAAGGGAGGAGGAUACAGAAAUGCCACCACACUAAGCCAAUUGACGGCUCCUUUGAAAAAUUGUACCACCGGUGACACCAUCAGCAAAGAUACUCCAGCAUUACCACAAUUCGCUGCACCAACAGACAGUUUACAAUGCAUACAAGUGAUACAUAGUCCAGGCAAGUUCUGCAAGCAGUUCAAAGCAGAGGAAUCUAUCAAUAUGUCCAUCUCCUCCCAAAGUAAACCGACUCCUUGAUUGAGCAUUACUUGUUGAGUUACAUUAUUCAUUGAUGCAUCAGUUUAUACAGUUUGUUGUGAUAACUAUCAAAGAAGCUGUAGUUUGGUUUUAUCUUUGUCUUCACCGGCACUGGGAUGAAGAUAGAAAUUCUGGCAAUGAUGGCUAAAAAAAAAUUAUGUAACAUUCCAACAGGUACUAAGAAAACAAUUUUCUGAACAAUUUACAUUAUCCUGAACAGAAUUAUUAAAUAUAAUGAAAAGGAAAGGUGAAAGUAAACAAACAGAUCUGCCAACCUCCCUAUUUGUUCACAUAUUAAAACAAUCCUCAACAGCUGUUUACCAAAUUCAAACCAAACCAUUCAAAUCAUGUGAGUAAAAAAAAUUCAGAUCCAUUUUUUCAUGAGUGCUCCUCAUAUAUGAUAUAUGGACAUACGCACAUACAGACAUACAACACAAAACACAAGUGUGCACACAAACGUACAACACAUAAGACAAUAGUAAAGGCCUUGUAGCUUUUCACAGGUGAAAUCUCCAUUGCAAUGUUUAAAAACUCCACAGUCAAAAAAUAAAACUGAUCAGAAAAACAUUAACCUAGGUCUGUAUGAGCUCAAAAAAUAAAAUAGAACUUUAUGAUGUGGGAAAGGACAAUAAUAAAAUAGAUAUUGAAAAAAGACAUCCUGGUUACCACCUGGGUUUGACUCUUUUUUUGGAUAUCCCAUCCUUUUUCCUGUAACUUGCAUAAUGGGUCUGAAGGUAUUCCCACAAGCAA